rnacentral:rRNA from 1 species
UACAGAGGUCUCAAGCGUUGUUCGGAUUCAUUGGGCGUAAAGGGUGCGUAGGUGGCGCCGUAAGUCGGGUGUGAAAUUUCGGAGCUUAACUCCGAAACUGCAUUCGAUACUGCGGUGCUUGAGGACUGGAGAGGAGACUGGAAUUCAUGGUGUAGCAGUGAAAUGCGUAGAGAUCAUGAGGAAGACCAGUGGCGAAGGCGGGUCUCUGGACAGUUCCUGACGCUGAGGCACGAAGGCCAGGGGAGCAAACGGG